UUCAUAAAUGUACCAAGCAUAUCCAAGCUGCAGUGGCAUCCAUUUACUGUUACUUCUAAUAAUAAUUUGGAGGCAGACAAGCUAAGUGUUNUUNUUAAAAGUGAAGGACCUUGGACCAAUAAGCUAUACCAGUUGCUUUCAACUCCUUCNACAAUUGAUCGCCUUUCUGUGUCUGUNGAAGGUCCUUAUGGACCUGCUUCAACCAACUAUCUACGGUUUGUAUCUUACAAGCAAAACACAACUUCAAACCUAAUGCUANAUCUGAGAUGAGUUCUUUGACUUUCACAUAAUAAUAANNUUUUGUAUUUUCUCCAUCAGGCAUGACACUCUUGUGAUGGUGAGUGGAGGAAGUGGCAUCACACCUUUUAUAUCCAUCAUUCGGGAGCUAAUACAUCUGAACACUAUAUUCAAAUGCAAAACCCCGAAAGUCGUCCUAAUUUGUGCCUUCAAGAACUCUUCUUCUCUGUCAAUGCUAGAGUUGAUCCUCCCAAUAAAUGGCANCCCUUCUGAUAUUUCUAAUUUAGAAUUACAAAUUGAGGCCUACAUCACAAGGGACAAGGAGCCUAAAGCAGAUGGCCCUAUUCACCCUCAAAUCAGAUGGUUCAAGCCAAAUCCAUCNGAUGAACCAGUACACGCUAUAUUAGGUCCAAACAGUUGGCUCUGGCUUGGUGCUAUAAUUUCAUCCUCUUUCGUNGUUUUCCUUAUCUUAAUAGGGAUCAUUACCCGUUACUACAUUUUCCCAAUUGAUCAUAACUCAAAUNAAAUAUUUUCCUACCCUUUGAAUGCAUUCCUUAACAUGCUAGUAAUAUGUGUGUCCAUAGCAAGUGUUUCCACUGCAGCUUUUCUUUGGAACAAGAAAUAUUAUGCUAAAGAAGGAAAGCAGAUUCAGAACAUGGAAGGGUCUACACCAACGGUGUCGCCAAACUCCAUGGUUUACAAUGUUGAUAGAGAACUGGAAAGUCUUCCAUAUCAGUCACUUAUUCAAGCCACCAAUGUGCAUUAUGGUGUAAGACCUGACCUAAGAAGUAAGUCACCUCCAAUUUCUUUAAUUAUGUCUUAGGGACUCAUGAAUGGAAUUGAAACCACUCAAUUUAUUUUUUCUUUUUACAGAGAUCCUAUUUGNGCACAAAGGGUCUAGUGUGGGAGUUCUUGCUUCAGGACCCAAAACAAUGAGGCAUGAGGUUGCAGCCAUUUGCUCCUCAUCUGNUUUAGCUGAGAAUCUGCAUUUUGAGUCUAUUAGCUUUAGCUGGUGAUUUUACUCAUACUGUUAUAAUGGGUGUAAUAGUGAGUGACCAAUGUCUGGAAGUACCUUGAAGGACUUGUUAAUUCUGUUGUUUUAUAUUUAAAUGACUGAAAAUUGUUCUCAAUAAUAAUUACGCCUUCAUAUGAGCAAGAUUAUAAAUAAAGGAAUUUACUAUAAUAUUUUAUCCUCAAAUAGUGUGGAUCAUAUUCACAAAACAUGCAAAAGCUGAGUUCAAACUACAAACAUGGAGAACGAGAAAUUACUAUUCAAAUAUCAAGACACGUGUAAUUACAUGAAAAGUUACUGAAUAAAUCACACCAUCUCAUUAACCAAUCCCAUCAAUAUAUAAAAUGAUACUAUUGUCAAGCACUAACUAUAUCAGAAACUCUAAGUAUCAUGCUAAAGCCUAGAAAUCAUUUCCAUAAAUAUCUUCAACAUCUUCCUCACAUACCAAAUGACAACCACACCUCAGUAUUUCCAGUGAAUGGCAGCAAUAACUUUUCAAUGCAAAUUCAAUUUCAUUGCAGUCCCACCUUCAUAUAUUUUGUGAAGGUGUUCAUCAAUGGACAAAGAGUACAUAAGGGUGAGGUAACAUCGAUCCAUGGAGGUAAAUUGCAUGGUUUAGAAUAAUCAUAUUCUUAAAAUAAUCAUAUUCUUAAAAUAAUUAUAUUCUCGUAUUAUUUAAUUUAUAAUAAAUCUAAAAUAUGAAUUCAUUAAUAUAUUAUAUUCCAAUUACUUAAUCCUAACUAGAGACCUAUUAUUGGAUUUAAAUCACACACAAAUAUUUCCCACUUUUAGGUAAACUCUACAGGAACACAAUGUUGUAGCCAAUUCAUCACCUAGUUUAGCUGGAAAUCUGCAUUUUGAGUACAUUAGCUUUAGCUGGUGAUUUUACCCAUGGUGUUGUAAAGGAUCAAAAAUAUUAAUUGAUAUGAUAAACCUCUUGAAGGAGCUAGUAGUCUUAGGCUGAGAGUCAGCCUUAGUGAACUGGUCGAUUGUGUUGCUUUUAUUUAAAUGGGUAAAAAUUGGUUUGUCCACAAUAGUUAGGCCUUCCUAUCAGUAAAAAUUUCAAGAAAGGAGCAUACUAUAAUAUAUUGAUUCCUCUCAUUAGUGUGGAUCAUUGCAACAAAGCAAGCCAAAGUUGAGUUCAAACUACGAAUACAAUGAAUGAGAAGUUUCUAUAGAAAUAAAAAGACACAUAGUUACAUGAAAAGAUACUCUCACUGAUCUAUCUGAGCUGUUCACUUCAAGUAAUCAUACUAUUUUCGAGUACCAUCUGUAUCAGAAACUACAUGUCUUAGGAUAAAACCUACAAACUAUUUCCAUAAAUAUCUUCAACAUCUUAUCAAUCCCUCUGAUAAGCAUGUCAAAUCUUUCUCUGGGAAGACGGAGUUUCUGCAUGUAGUAACACAUAAUUUUGAAUAAGCAACAAGAAUGGAUGAUUAUGUGUUACACACAGUUUUAGAAUGUGGAUAAAUCCCAUUUUGCAGGUGAUGCAAAGAGACUCCACAUGGUUAGGAUGGAUUGUAUUUGGAAACCUCAAAUGAAGCGCAAUUGCUUGCCUCCAAUGGUUUCAUGUUGGAAAAGCAUGUUAAGUAAUGCUGCAACGUGUUCGCUACAGUCUAUGAGAAGCUCUAUAAGCCCUGGCAGUUUGGAAAUGCAACUUGGUAAGCUAAUAAUAUUGUUGCUAUAAAAAAUGUUGCCAGUGAGAUCUAGAGUCUCCAAUGAAGAUAAGCGACAANAAAGGGGUUGAAACCCUUGAUUUUCUCAUCUGGCAUUAGUCACACAGCACUCAAAUGGUUGUUGACCUUCAAUUCAUGUCAACCCUCUCAUGUGACCCACAUAAUUUUGGGUCCACAAACUNUGAUGCAAAAAAUUAUAUUAAUUUCUACAUUCCCAUAGAAGGGACNUGANGCAUNCUUUUNUGUUUUUACCCUGUUGGUGUCUCNUGCCUAAUGUUUUUAUUUAUGUAUAAUUGUCCAAUCAAACUCAUUCCAUUUCUUGAACUNUAAAUUGGUCAUCCACUUUGAUUCUCCUCANUGCAGUCUCACCCNAAAUCAAAAUGGCNCAAGAAACUGUGGUGAAGAGGUCACCCUCUCAAGCAAAAUUUCACAGGGUUCAAUUUGCAAUAAGGCUGUUGGNGCUGGUUUUGUUCUUGGGUUGGAUUUUCAUUUGGAUAAUGUCACCCACAAAUACUUUUANACAAANNUGGCUUCCAAGAUACAGNGCAAAGACUGNCAAUACAACUUAUUUGGGUUCAAAAGGUCUUGUUAAUUUAUUCAAUNAUUACAUUGCUUUGAUUAUUUUAUGCUGAUAUUCCCCUGUAAUGUUUUCAUUGCAGGUUCUAAUCUUCUGAUGUACACAUUCUCAAUNUUGCUCAUAGCUACUUUGGGGUGUGUCUACCUCCACAUAAUAAAAAAAGCAAAUGACUCCAACAUGGAAAUGUACUAUUUUUCACCACUUACUCUGGUUAUAAUCUUUUGAUAAAUGGUUCAUUGUAAGAUUAACACAUAAAAAGGUGUACUACAAAUGACAUGAACAAAAAAAUAAAAAGCAUAAAACACACUCACAGAACUGUAUUUAAAGUUUGUAGAUUGCAGAAUAAGUUUUAUCAUAGUUUUGACAGUUACCCAGGAAAAUUUUUCUCUUGUAACAAAAGUUAAGGCCUUAUUUUUUUUUUAAUAUAUUAGUACUUAUAUGAUGAGAAAUAGUAAAUAACUAUGUGUUAUUUUAUAAAUUAAUUUACAAAAAGUUCUUUGUUUUAGUUUCUUCACAAACUGAUUAUAACUUGUAAAAAGUUAAAUUAGUUUUAUAUACUUAUUUUCUUAUCUUACAGAUACUUUUUUCAGCAAAAUGUUUGAUUUUUCAACUUUAGAAAAAUGAUGUGAGNGUGGGGACAAAGAAUUUAAUAAGCCUGUAAAGAAUUGUACUUGUGAUAGUUGACUUUUUCACAUGUAUAUAUGUUUUGUGCAUUAUCAGCAGCAACUCAAAGAAAUAUGAGAUAGCCCUAUGGAAGCGUUCAGUGCUUAUAAAAGGCCCUCUUGGCAUUGUCUCUGGCACAGAGCUUGCAUUCUUGCUCAUGUUCAUUGCACUCCUUGUCUGGNCCUUUGCAACUUCUUUAAGCAACAGCUUUGCAAAAAUCACCCCCGAAUCAGCAGCACAGGAUGGCGAGAAAAUGUAAACUUUUAUUAUGAUUACUAUUAGACUUUGAUUUCUAUACAUAAUUAGAGUAAAAAGUUAUUAACUGCAAAUCGAUCUAAAAUCAUUACUAGAUAACUUUUGAAGUAACUAUUAUAAAAGUCAGCAAAUUUAAUAUCAAUGACAUGAUACUUUUUAUACUGAAUGAUUGGAUGAUGGUAGAAAAAUCCUUAACAAUAUCAGUGCCUAAACUAUUUUUCCUAUUGUUUGCAGUAUGAUUAGUUUUUCAACUUUUACGACAAUUAUCUUAGAAAGUCGUAGAUUUUUGUGAUUCCUGGUAGAUUAACGGUGUAAAAGUGCAUUAUUAAACUAAAAACUAAGCUGAGCAUUUUGAUUGUUAUUGUUAAUUGUGAUACAUGUUGGUGGUGCAGAUGGGAAGAGAAGCUAGACAGUGCAGGAUUGAUAUCUGGUGUUGUUGGGAACAUAUGUUUGGUAUUCAUGUUUUUUCCUGUGGCUCGUGGUUCAAGCGUGCUGCCACUGCUUGGUCUCACUUCUGAAAGUUGCAUUAAGUACCAUAUUUGGCUUGGACAUAUUGCCAUGCCACUAUUCACUGCUCACGGUUUGAGCUUCAUCAUCCAUUGGGCAAUUAUUAAUCACUUGUCUGCGGUUAGUUAAGAACUUAUAGUAUAUUGAUUUCAUGGCAUGCAAUGUUUUAUCAUUUAUAUGAGUGUUGAUUGCCAUUAAUCCACCUUAUGUUGUAAAGAAAGUUUUUUUUUUUUUUUUUUUUUGUAACAAGUUAACUCAAGUAUGUUAAAAUUCGUAAUAAGUGAUUAUUUUAUUUGAAGAACACUUCUUUUCUACAAAAACAGUUUAAACAAAUAGACCCAUUGGCCCCCUUGUCACUUUGGAUAUUCCUCGCGCUUAUGCUUAUUGGUAUUCAUUUCUGACUUGCUUUAAGUAGCAAAUCGGUGAACACCACCAAAAGGGUUAAAAAUGUGAAUUUUUUAUGCUUGAACGGUCAAACUGUUUCUGUUGUACACUAAUCAUAUAAUUUUAAAUGAUUUUAUGCGUCUAUAUUUGUAGGAAAGUUUUUCAUUGAUAAAGAAAAAAGAUUUAUACAAUUAUGUAUGAAUUGAUUCUAGAAUUGUUACAGCAGAACAUUUUAGAGACCAAGCAACAAACCUGUCGCGGUGUUUUUCUUGAGCAAGUUGUCUGAAUUUUAUGUUUUGUUUUUUGUUUCAUAGUAUUGUGUGCACUGAGCUGAUGGGGCCAUGGCUUUUUUUCGUUGCAGAUGCUGGAAUGGAAGAAAAACGAUAUAUCAAUUGUGGCUGGAGAGAUAACUUUGCUUGCNGGUUUGUUACUAUGGAUUGCAACUAUUCCCCGCAUUAGGCGAACAUAUUUUGAACUCUUCUAUUACGCUCAUCACCUCUACAUCCUCUUCAUAGUCUUCUUCAUCUUUCAUGUUGGCAUUUCCUAUGCCUUAAUUAUGCUCCCUGGUUUCUACCUCUUCAUGGUCGAUCGUUACUUGAGGUUUCUGCAAUCAAGACGCCAAGUUCGUCUGGUUUCUGCUCGGGUNUUGCCAUGUGAAGCUGUGGAACUCAACUUCUCCAAGGGCCAUGGUAACUAACAUCAUGAUCUUAUCUCAGUAUCUCGAAGACACCUCUAGCUACUUCCUCAUAAAUGACUAAUUUAUUGAGACUUUUUUUAUGAGCUCAGGUUACAUGUUUUUUUUGCAGGAUUAACUUACAACCCCACAAGUGUGAUGUUCAUAAAUGUACCAAGCAUAUCCAAGCUGCAGUGGCAUCCAUUUACUGUUACUUCUAAUAAUAAUUUGGAGGCAGACAAGCUAAGUGUUNUUNUUAAAAGUGAAGGACCUUGGACCAAUAAGCUAUACCAGUUGCUUUCAACUCCUUCNACAAUUGAUCGCCUUUCUGUGUCUGUNGAAGGUCCUUAUGGACCUGCUUCAACCAACUAUCUACGGUUUGUAUCUUACAAGCAAA
rnacentral:lncRNA from 1 species